UACGAGUGGUGCAAGCGUUAUUCGGAAUCAUUGGGCGUAAAGGGUGUGUAGACGGUAUGUCAAGUCAACUGUUUAAUUCUCCGGCCUAACCGGAGGCCAGCGGUAGAUACUAACGUGCUAGAGGGUGGAAGAGAGAAGUGGAAUUCUCGGAGUAGCGGUAAAAUGCGUAGAUCUCGAGAGGAACACCGAUGGCGAAGGCAGCUUCUUGGUCCAUACCUGACGUUGAGACACGAAAGCGUGGGGAGCAAACAGG
rnacentral:rRNA from 1 species